GUAUCGCCCAGGAGCCAAGAAAGACAAGGGAAACCCUUUUUCAUCAUUCAAAAUUCAACAAUUGAAGCUCUAAUCUUGGUUAAUACUCAUGCAUGUCCUUGAUUUCUUAAUCAUCCAAGCAUGCUAAAGCACUAGGAGUUAAGGAAGAAAGUUCAAGCCGUGCCGGAACACAAGCUAGCAACGACAAAGGUAAAGCUACUUGAUGGGUGGCAUAUUUGGAUCGAACAUACUUUUGAUGCACGCUUCCGCAAGGAUCUUUGUUGUGGUCUAAACUUUUGUUAAACAAUGUCUAUGUUAAAAACGGGUCUUUUGUAAGUAACUUAAACCGGUAGUUAUUAGAUGUUAAACUAUGUUGGUUUAGAAUGU